UGGCGGACGGGUGAGUAACGCGUGGAAAACCUGCCGUAUACUGGGGAAUAACACUUAGAAAUAGGUGCUAAUACCGCAUAAGCGCACAGCUUCGCAUGAAGCGGUGUGAAAAACUCUGGUGGUAUACGAUGGUUCCGCGUCUGAUUAGCUAGUUGGUGGGGUAAUGGCCUACCAAGGCAACGAUCAGUAGCCGGCCUGAGAGGGUGAACGGCCACAUUGGGACUGAGACACGGCCCAAACUCCUACGGAAGGCAGCAG
rnacentral:rRNA from 1 species